CCAAUAGCGUAUAUUAAAGUUGUUGCAGUUAAAAAGCUCGUAGUUGAAUUUCGGGGUUAGUAGGUUGGUCAUGCCUCUGGUAUGUACUGGUCUCACUGAUUCCUCCUUCCUGAUGAGCCGUAAUGCCAUUAAUUUGGUGUUGCGGGGAAUUUGGACUGUUACUUUGAAAAAAUUAGAGUGUUUAAAGCAAGCUAACGCUUGAAUACAUUAGCAUGGAAUAAUGAAAUAGGACGUUCGAUCCUAUUUUGUUGGUUUCUAGGAUUGACGUAAUGAUUAAUAGGGAUAGUUGGGGGCAUUAGUAUUCAAUUGUCAGAGGUGAAAUUCUUGGAUUUAUCGAAGACUAACUACUGCGAAAGCAUUUGCCAAGGAUGUUUUCAUUAAUCAAGAACGAAAGUUAGGGGAUCGAAGACGAUCAGAUACCGUCGUAGUCUUAACCAUAAGCUAUGCCGACUAGGGAUCGGAUGAUGUUAAUUUUUUAAUGACUCAUUCGGCGCCUUACG
rnacentral:rRNA from 1 species